UACGGAGGGAGCUAGCGUUGUUCGGAAUUACUGGGCGUAAAGCGCACGUAGGCGGCUUUGUAAAGUUAGAGGUGAAAGCCCGGAGCUCAACUCCGGAAUUGCCUUUAAGACUGCAUCGCUUGAAUCCGGGAGAGGUGAGUGGAAUUCCGAGUGUAGAGGUGAAAUUCGUAGAUAUUCGGAAGAACACCAGUGGCGAAGGCGGCUCACUGGACCGGUAUUGACGCUGAGGUGCGAAAGCGUGGGGAGCAAACAGG
rnacentral:rRNA from 1 species